CGAAUGGGGGAACCCACCACUUUAUGUGGUACUUUAAACUGAAUACAUAGGUUUAAAGAGACAACCUGGAGAACUGAAACAUCUAAGUAACCAGAGGAAAAGAAAUCAAUUGAGAUUCCGUUAGUAGUGGCGAGCGAACGCGGAGUAGGCCAGUAGUUUUGUUAGAAAAAUUUGAAUAGUUUGGAAAUGCUAACCAUAGAGGGUGAUAGUCCCGUAUGAGUAAUGUCUAACAAAAUUCUUGAGUAAAGCGGGACACGAGAAAUCCUGCUCGAAUAUAGGGGGACCACCCUCUAAGCC
rnacentral:rRNA from 1 species